GCCAUUUCCAGCAACCUACCUGCAUGCCGUCUCUUACUUAAAGAAGGAGACUCAAGGUUAGCACACUCUUUCUUUGACAUAUUGUUGCUGACAUCACUUCCUGUGCUUGAAUUGUUUGUCGCGAGUUCCGUGCCGGUCGAAUGUGUUUGCUUGGCUAUUUUAAUUCAGUUUUGAAUUAUCUUUGAGUUUAUACAUUAACUCCUUACUUUCUACAAAGGUUCAACACACCGGCAAUAGCAUCUUAAGAGUUAAAUAAUCGCUCAAAAUACUUUUUGAUAUCACAUUUUAUCUGUUAUCCUGAGUGUCUGCUUUUAGCUGGUUAGCAUCACUAGCCUGUUAGCCCGGUUACUGCUAGUUCUCUACACCUUCUCACACCAAUUAUCUCUGUUGAACUUGCCCUAUAACACCAUGUCACUUAUGCACUUUUGAGUGCAAGUGAGGACACGUUCGAGCUGCACUCGGUGGAACUGGAGCUAGAGGCCGUGGAGAAGCAGAUCCGUGACCUACAGGUGAAGCAGGUCCAGCUGCGGGAGCGGAAAGCUCACUCACCUGUCUCAGGCUCAGCGCACCCAGGAAGCAGCCUGCCCAGGUGUUGUUUACUCUGGCGCCAGGGAACCAUGGACCCUGUGUGCAGCAGCAGCAGAAGACGCGAGCUGGGCCCGGUUGACCUCCCCCCCUCCAGCGCCACCGGACUUUAAGAUCUCCACCCGGAAUCACACCCCCCCCCCCUUUGUGAGACGGAAUCGUCCACCACGUCCGUGCUACUGUAAAGGUAAGGCUCGCACUCACUGCUUACCUGGUGCUCGUGUUCUUGAUCUCACUGCACAGGUACCUGGGAUCCUGAGCAAGCACACCGGAGCUGUGUUUCUUCAUGCCGGCACGAACGACACCAGCUUGAGGCAGUCAGAGAUCCUGAAGAUGGACUUGAACACCGUGGUGGAGACGGAUCACAGCACAUUACCCACAGCAAGGAUCAUCGUGUCUGGACCACUUCCCAUGUACCAGCAAGGAAUCGAAAUGUUAAGUAGACUUUUUGCUCUAAAUGAAUGGUUACAGUCAUGGCGUCACGCUCAGAAUUUACUCUUCAUUGACAACUGGAAUGUUUUCUGGGAGCGUCCUUGGCUAUUCGAUGCUGAUGGCCUGCACCCCAGCAGAGUUGGAGCAGAAAUCCUCUCAGACCACAACUACAGGGUGCUGCACACCUUCUGACUGAAUGACUAACCUUAAUGGAUCCAGCAGAAAUCUUAUUUUGCAUACGCCAGGAAGAUUCUCCGAUCGAGGAAUACGCUGAGGUAUUUUUGGAACUGUGUAACCAGGUGGACUUCGAAGAGAAGUUCCUGAAAGACGUCUUCAUGCAUGGAUUGGGGUUCUCUAAAUAAUCUUACCAUAAUUAGACCAGAAAAAUGCCAAAGAAACAAACAAAAACAUUUCCUAAAGUUUGGGCUUCUGAAUAUUAGAUCACUUGCACCCAAAGAACUUAGUAAAUGAAAUCAUCUCAAAAAAUAGCCUUAUUGCACUAUGCCGUACUGAAACUUGGAUUAAACCAAAUGAUUACAUUAGUCUAAAUAAGUCUACCCCAUCAGGAUAUAUCUAUAAGCAUGAGGCUCAUCAGACUGGUCUUGGAGGUGGUGUUGCCACUAUCUUUAAUGAUUUCAUUACUCAGAGAACAUGGUAUAGAUUUAACUCCUUUGAAAUGCUUGUUCUUAAUGUUGCACUCUUGCACAAGCACAUGAAAAAAUCCCUCAUGUCUCUUGCUCUAGCAACCAUAUAAAGACCCCCAGGGCCCUACACUGAUUUUCUUAGAGAAUUUGCAGAUUUUCUUUCAGACAAAUUGGUUAAUUUUGAUAAAGCAUUAAUUGUAGGAGACUUUAACAUUCACGUUGACAAUACAAACUAUGAUUUAGGACUCACAUUAAUGGACUUACUAAACUCAUUUGGGCUUAAACAAAACAUCACUAGAGCAACUCAUCGUCUUAAUCAUACGGUAGAUUUACAGUAAGAAUUAUCACAUAGAAUAGAUGUCACUGACCUCAAAGUGAUGACAUCACAGACCAUUACCUCAUAAUGUACACACUACCUGUAGAACAAACUAACUCGGUAGAAUUAUUACUCUGACCACUAAAGACAGAUUCACAAAUAACCUGCCUGAUCUGUCUCAACUUCUUACUGUACCCUUAACACAAAUUAUCUAGAUGUAAUGACUAACAGCAUAGGCGCUAUCUUUACUAGCACAUUAGACACUGUUGCCCCAAUCCGAUUAAAGAAAGUUAGAGACAGAACACCUGCACCAUGGUAUAAUAGUCAUACUCACACCCUCAAGAAAGCAACCCAUAAACUCAAGCAAAAGUGGAGAAAAACUAAAUUAGAAGUUUUUAGAAUUGCGUAUAAGGACAGUAUGUCUGGCUAUAGACAGGCUCUAAAAACUGCUAGGGCUGAGCACCUGAGCAAACUCAUAGAAAAUAACCAGAACUAUCCCAGGUUUCUAUUUAGUACAGUGGCUAGAUUAACAAAAAAACAGAAAUCCGAACACACUAAUCCAUCACAGUCCAGUACUGAGGACUUUAUGAGAUUCUUCACUGAUAAAAUUGAAAGCACCAGGAACAAAAUAGAAAGCAAAAAUAGAAACAAAGUAACAAAAUAGAAAGCACCUUGUGACCCAGUCUCACCUAAAGCUCUACACUCACAACUACAGUGCUUUACAAGUACAGGACAGGAAGAGUUAGAUAAGUUUAUUACUACAGAUAAACAAACAACUUUUUCAGUACUUGGACAGGCUUUAUGUUGGUUUAGAUCCUACCUGUCUGAUUGAUACCAUUUUGUAGAAUUAAAUGGUGAAUCCUCCAGUUUAUUGCUAGUUAAUUAUGCAAUGAUUUGGGACCUCCACUGAGAUGAGGCAGACUCUGAGAAUCCUGAGGCAUCUAGAGAUCUACCAGCUCCAGUUGGACUCUGCGAUACUAUUGAGAUGUGAACUCCAUGUGUAAUGAGUCUGUCUGUG